AACAAAUUGAAAUCAACAAAUAUGACCCAGAAAACAGAAAAACAUCGCUGAAGGUGAAAUCAAGCAGAGGAAGAGAGCCUGCAAAAACAAGAAACUCAGACAAAAGGCAAUACUUGUUAAUUGUUUUCGAAAAGAAACAACUUGUUUUCAAAAUUAUCCAAAAGUUAUUGAAACCAAACAGCAGCAAGGAGCUUUAUAAAGUAUUUCUUUAUAUUUUGGCUGACGCAAUUUCAAGCCCGCGCACACCAUACCAAGCUUUUGCUUAUGUGUGCGAGUGAAAAUGUAUGCAUCUGCAUUGGUAUGGGUCGUCUGUGUUGGGAGAGGAACGUUGGCGGUGGAACACUCCAAUGAUUGUGGAGAGAGAGAAAGAGUGUAUAAAACAAAUGGGAAGAUGAAAAUGUAGAAUAAAGAGGGGGAAAAAGAGGAGCAAACAAUUGACGUAAAAUGAAAAGAAUAAAUAAAUACAUUUUCGUAUGCAAAUAUAGAGGAAUAGGCAUCAUCUUCACAGUUCUCGCACGGGCAAGUACAACUGUACUUGGGAGUGCGUCUAAAUGUAUUAGUUUGAUUAAAACAAGUUGCCAAACAAAGACCGCCCUCCUCCAAUGGCUGUACAGCUUGCAUAAAAAGCAUAGCCCCACUCACA
rnacentral:sRNA from 1 species